CAGUGUGGUUCGAUUUGUUAUUAGGUUUAGAGUGAUGGGAAAGAUACGCUAUUCUAGACGAAGGUUUUAGUCAGAUGCAACUUUUUUUGAAGAGCACAAGUGGUACACAGUGGAGUAAUACAGCCCUCGUACAAUUAAGACGUUUCCGAAACAAUCUCGGCGAACGGGACGACGCCAACGACAACGGGUCAUGAGAACGUGGUUGUUUCGUUAAAAGCAGCAUUACCACCCGGGUGGAAAGUUUAUACGGAACGUGAAGAACAUACGGAAGGCCGGAACCGGCCAGCACUUUGUCAGCUGCUCGCUCUAGAGCAACAAAAGCAACAUAGUCUACUCUCGGCGCAACAACGAUAGCGCAGGAGAGUCCAGGCCAACUUCCUCGUCUCCUUCGCAACAUAAGUUGUACUCCAGCAACGUGAAUAUAAAUGAGACUAACGAGCUCUCUGUGAUGUCGGUAAUGACGCUAGAUUGCAGUCGGAACAAGCGAACG
rnacentral:misc_RNA from 1 species